rnacentral:lncRNA from 1 species
CCACUAUCCGUGUCCAGUCCUGUUACACUUACCUUUAUGCUCUUGUGCAGAUCUAGCGGGUCCCUUUGAAGCGUCUACCUGCAUGUCGACUCGUCACUCAGGAUACAGAGACCGUGGAAACCCCCUCCCGUACACUUACCAGUACGGUUUUAGUUGGAUCCCGGCAGCCCUUGGGCAGUUCCCCCAGCAUCUGGACGACCGGGAGUAUAAUCCGCUGGGCCGCCUCGGAGUUCGUCAAAAGAAAGGAGAGGGCCCUGGACAGUCGUCCUGCAAGCCAGAACAAAGGGGCACUUGUGAAUAAGCUGAUUGUCGUCACAUAGCCAGAAGGAAAGAGGAGUGAAGGACUCACCUGAGAUCUCCCGUGACGGAGUCUAAGAGACUCGAGACUGUUACUCUCCAAAAGGAGGGUUGGAUUUUAGCCUCCCUUCCCCAUACCCUUUUUUUUAGUAAUUUAAUAAAGUCUGUUUUAAUAUUUACUUACCGGCUCUUGUGUGUCUGGUCAUUGGGGUGUUCUUGGGACCUCCUCGAGGUGGAAAUUAGGAAGGGGCGUGACUCACAACAUCUGUGGUCCGCUCCGACCUGUGACACGAAUCUCCCUUUUCUGUCCAAGAUACUAGAAAAGGUAGUAUCCUCACAAUUAUAUUCCUUCUUAGAGAAAAAUGGCAUCUGUAAAGGAUUUACAGUCAGGAUUUAGACCAUAUCAUAGUACUGAGACUGCUCCUUAGAGUUACAAAUGACCUGCUCUUAUCAUCUGAUCGUGGUUGUGUCUCUCUAUUAGUGCUAUUGGAUCUUAGUGCUGCGUUCGACACUAUUGACCACAACAUACUUUUGCAUAGACUAGAACACUUUGUUGGCAUUAAUGGAAGUGCAUUAGCAUGGUUUAAAUCAUACUUACAGUACAGGUCAAAAGUAAUGGAAACAUUACUAUUUUUAAUGUUUUUGAAAGAGGUCUCUUCUGCUCAUCAAGCCUGCAUUUAUUUGAUCAAAAAUACAGAAAAAACAUUAAUACUGUGAAAUAUUAUUACAACUUAAAAUAAUAGUUUUCUAUUUGAAUAUACUUUAAAAAAUAAUUUAUUCCUGUGAUGCAAAGCUGAAUUUUCAGCAUCAUUACUCCAGCCUUCAGUGUCACAUGUAACAUCCAGUCUAUCACAUGAUCAUUUAGAAAUCAUUCUAAUAUUCUGAUUUAUUAUGAGUGUUGGAAACAGUUCUGCUGUCUAAUAUAUUUGAUGAAUAAAAGAUCAA